rnacentral:rRNA from 1 species
GUUAGACGGGGCCCGCACAAGCGUGGAGCAUGUGGUUUAAUUCGAUGAUACGCGAAAACCUUUACCCGGGCUUGACAUGCAUCAGACAGGCGUAGAGAUACGCCCUCCGCGAGGCUGGUGCACAGGUGCUGCAUGGUUGUCGUCAGCUCGUGUCGUGAGAUGUUGGGUUAAGUCCCGCAACGAGCGCAACCCUUAUCAUUAGUUGCUACGCAAGGGCACUCUAAUGAGACUGCCGGUGACAAACCGGAGGAAGUGGGGAUGACGUCAAGUCCUCAUGGCCCUUAUGGGUAGGGCUUCACACGUCAUACAAUGGUCGGUACAGAGGGUUGCCAAGCCGCGAGGCGGAGCCAAUCCCACAAAGCCGAUCGUAGUCCGGAUUGUUCUCUGCAACUCGAGAGCAUGAAGUCGGAAUCGCUAGUAAUCGCAGGUCAGCAUACUGCGGUGAAUACGUUCCCGGGUCUU